rnacentral:rRNA from 1 species
UACGGGGGGGGCAAGCGUUAUUCGGAUUCACUGGGCGUAAAGGGUGCGCAGGCGGCCAAGUGUGUGAGGCGUGAAAGCCUGGGGCUUAACUCCAGAAUUGCACCUCAAACUACUUGGCUAGAGCAUUGGAGAGGGUAGCAGAAUUCAUGGUGUAGCAGUGAAAUGCGUAGAUAUCAUGAGGAAUACCAGAGGCGAAGGCGGCUACCUGGACAAUUGCUGACGCUCAGGCACGAAAGCGUGGGGAGCAAAAGGG